GACGAACGCUGGCGGCGUGCUUAACACAUGCAAGUCGAACGAAGAGCGAUGGAAGCUUGCUUCUAUCAAUCUUAGUGGCGAACGGGUGAGUAACGCGUAAUCAACCUGCCCUUCAGAGGGGGACAACAGUUGGAAACGACUGCUAAUACCGCAUACGAUCUAAUCUCGGCAUCGAGGAUAGAUGAAAGGUGGCCUCUACAUGUAAGCUAUCACUGAAGGAGGGGAUUGCGUCUGAUUAGCUAGUUGGAGGGGUAACGGCCCACCAAGGCGAUGAUCAGUAGCCGGUCUGAGAGGAUGAACGGCCACAUUGGGACUGAGACACGGCCCAGACUCCUACGGGAGGCAGCAGUGGGGAAUCUUCCGCAAUGGACGAAAGUCUGACGGAGCAACGCCGCGUGAGUGAUGACGGCCUUCGGGUUGUAAAGCUCUGUUAAUCGGGACGAAAGGCCUUCUUGCGAACAGUUAGAAGGAU
rnacentral:rRNA from 1 species